UUUUGCAAAUUUGGGAGGGGGUUCUUGCCAAUAUAUUGAAGAAACUGUCAGGAAAUUCUAAAUAUUCUAAAAUGUCCAAGUAUAGUAACCCCAAAAGAUUUAAAAAAAAAAAAACACUCUGAAAUUAAUUUUUAAUUUGAGAAUGAACUGUGGAAUAAAAAACCGCGCCAAUCACCCAACCGUUGGAAACUGUAAGCAACCGCUCUCGAAAAUCCGACGGUAUCCAACGGCUUAAAUGCUCUCAUCAAAACAUUGAUCAACUGCCUUAUAAAGCUGGUCUGGUAUUAAAGUUCCUUCAAAUUCUCUUUCAGUCAUGGCACUCCAGGUCCAUUUUCUCUUACUCAUUUCUCUCUUCACUCUCCCCUUCUCAACCUCUGCAGUGCCGUUAUUCGCUUUCAGUUGGUUGGACGACAAGAACAAAUUUCUAGCAGGCGAUAAAGCAGCCGUAAGGAUCAUAGUGCUAGGAAAUUUUGACAGCCAAGGAAAUGCUUCACUUGAAAAAAGUUCUUUCAAGCCUUCACUCAUAAUAAACGAGAAGGUGGGAAAUAGUUGUUACAUUUCUGGGGUUGUGCUAGAGACCAGUGGAGAUACUAGCAAUUGGAGAAUUAUAUUCACGCCAAUCCUGGUUGGUUUGUUUAAUUUGUUAGUCCUUGAUGAACCUUUCAAAGUAUUGGAUUCCUCUCUUCAUUUCUAUGUUGAUCCAGGGAAAAUGCAUCCAUCUGUCUCUGUUGUUUCAUGGAUGGGUGGUGUGAAUGAGUUUGAAGCGGGGACAAAAGCCACCCUUUUGAUUCUUCCUAAAGAUGCAUUUGGAAAUAAUGUUUCUUCGACAAGCAAAGAACCAAGUUCUUUUAAUUUCAUAGUGUCUGUAUGUCAGGCAAAUGGUUCCUUUAUUAACAUGCCAAAUGUUACUAACGUGGGUUGGAAUGAAGCUGGUUACAUCGUCUUAGAGUUUAUUGCUAGUAUAGCCGGGGACCUUUCAUUGCGCAUUGAAGGGGGAAAUCAAACAUUGAAUGGCUCUCCACUACCAUUCAAGGUCAAUCCAGGAGCACUGGACAUUUCCAGUUGUGAGGCCAAAUUGAAAUAUGAAGUGUCUGCCUGGCAGAUUUUUUCCAAGAUGGAAGUAUUUAUACACCAGCAUGAUCAAUAUAGGAACCUUGUUCCAGGAUUGUAUGCCUUUGAUGCUGAUAUUGUUGAGAAAGAGACAAAUUUGUCUAUACCAGUUGUAGAUUUUCACUUUGAAGAAGUGGUUCCAGGAAUUCAGUUGCUUUCUUUUACCAUACAGGAAUCUGGAAACUUCUUGCUCACAAUAUCUGAUAUGAAGCAUAGUAUAAGCAUCUCCAACAUGCCUUUUGCUUAUUCUGUCUUUGUAGGAUAUUGUGAUGGAUUAAGCAGUGUUGUCAACGGCUCUGGUUUAAAUGGUUCCAUUGCUGGGGAAAUUGCAGUCUUCUCAGUUUAUUUGAAUGACAAUUUUCAAUUCCCAUCUCCAGUUGAAAUAGAAAUGCUUAAAGUACAAAUUAUAAGGGAAAACGACUCUUAUCAAAUACGGCCAAGUAUAUUACCCACACAGAUUGUUAAUGGGAGUGGAUCUACUGAAAAGCUGAGUAAUGGUUCUAUUGAUCAGUUAGAAAUUGCUCUGGCACCCUCUAUUGAUCAGACUAACACUUCUUCAGAGAACUCAAAAGUUCUGGCCAGUGCUUUUGAUGUUACUUAUAUUCCUGAAAGGAGUGGUACUUAUAAUACUCUGGUACUCUGUGGAAAUAUUGUUUUAAAUGGUGGUUAUCCAUUCAGAAUGGAAGUCAAAGCAGGAGAUGUGAAUAUGUCACUCUCGGGAGUUGUGAAGUUUAGUCCUAAGGUGCCAAUGCUGAUUACACAUGAGGUAGUGGUCCAGCUACAGGAUUCAAUUUCCAAUCCUGUCUUGUCACAACAGUCGAGGCUGAAACUGGAGAUUACUUCAAUAAACAAUUCUGGCUUUUCAAGUUGGAUGUUCGUGGAUAACAAUGAUGGUUCAUACAGCGUUCGAUAUCUGGCUAUGGAAGUAGGUACCUACGAGAUGUGUGUUUCGUUGGAUGGCAGAUGUUUCUCACCUUUCCAGGUUCAUGUGUACAGCAGUCAAUAUUUUCCUAAAGCAUAUGAUGAUAUAUUGUCUGUUUGGGAGGAUGAGUCGAUUGCUUUUGAUGCUUUGGCUAAUGACUACUAUGCCGGGGAUCAGGCAAACCUUGUUGAAUUCUCCAACCCUGGUUUUGGUUCACUUCUACAGUUUGGGCAGAUCUUCAGAUAUACCCCUUACAAAGAUUAUAUUGGGAAUGAUUCUUUUUCAUACACAAUAUCUGAUGUCAAUGGUAACCUUGCCACUGCUGCUGUCAACAUUUCUGUUCUCAGUAUCCCACCACAGUUUGUUUCCUUUCCUACUCAAUUGCUAGCAACUGAAGACUUGAUGAGUCCCAGGAUCGGUGGUUUCACUGGGUUAGGGAUUAGAUAUUCAGAAUUGAAGGAGAACAUUUCUGUCACUCUCAGUGCAAAGUCUGGGACUGUAUUCUUGUCUUCUUUGCUAAUGCAGUUUUGGCAACCAUCAAUGUGGAGUGGACUUUCUGUAAGGAAUGGCAAUGAAACCGUGAAGGAUUUGAUCUUAGAAGGCAGUAUAGAUGUCAUCAAUUUUACCCUUCAGUCAAUCCAAUAUCUUGGAAAUGAAAACUUUUAUGGGGAGGAUACCAUUCGAAUAUCUGCCAGAAACAGAAACGGGAAAAAUGAUUUGGAUAUUCCAAUUUCUGUGGAGCCUGUUAAUGAUCCUCCAUUCAUUCAAGUCCCCGAAUACAUUGUUCUAAAUGCUACUGGAGAUGAGUCACUGAUAUUCAACAGAGAAAGAGACAAGUUCGAUUUCAGCAUUGGGGAUCCAGAUAUGCAUAAGUAUCCAGGCGGUCCAUCUCGCUUCGUGGUGGCAUUUUCCAUGGAAGUUAGUGAUGGAUUAUUGCUAUCCAGUCUACCAGCUGAGCUCAUCAGUGUAACUGAAGUGAAGCUAAAGGACAGUUAUCUAUGGCAACCCGUUCAGACCUAUGUCACCAUUUCAAAACAUUUUAUGGUCCAAGCCAGUGGAAUUAGAUUUCAGGCAUCAAUAAAUGACUGCAAAACUGUAAUGCAACAGCUCUUUUAUCAUGGUCAGGAACAUAACACCCUUUUGACACUGAAGGUGAACGACAUGGGGCGUUAUGGUUGUUAUCCAGACUGCGCUGAAAAGUUCUUUGUGCCUCUAUCUGCAGAGGCUAAUGUAACUUUGAUCAGAAAAAGGCCAAUGAGUUCAUUGGCAGCUCAUACCUUAGGAUCAGCUAUAAUCAUUGAAUUCAUUAUGGUGCUUUCUCUUGGAGUUGUACUUCUUCUCUUCACUUGCAAAUGUGCAAUUCUUCUGGUGAAUGAGAGAAGACAUGGUGAUGCCAAAAACUCAAAGCUUUCCAGGAUGCAGAGUUCGAAUACACAAACUGCUGCUCUGGCCAGUUGAAGGAAGCAGACUGAAACAUCUUCAACAAUUGCUUUGAGUCCAUAUUACUUAAACACUUCAUAAUGCAACGUUAACCAUUCUUUAAGGGUCAGCUGUUGAAUUACGAUCAUCGACGACAUUUCUGAA